rnacentral:rRNA from 1 species
AUUGAACGCUGGCGGCAUGCCUUACACAUGCAAGUCGAACGGCAGCACGGGGGCAACCCUGGUGGCGAGUGGCGAACGGGUGAGUAACAUAUCGGAACGCGCCCUGGGAGUGGGGGAUAACUAGUCGAAAGACUAGCUAAUACCGCAUACGAUCUACGGAUGAAAGUGGGGACCUUCGGGCCUCAUGCUUUUGGAGCGGCCGAUAUCUGAUUAGCUAGUUGGUGAGGUAAAGGCGUCACCAAGGCGACGAUCAGUAGCUGGUCUGAGAGGACGACAGCCACACUGGGACUGAGACACGGCCCAGACUCCUACGGGAGGCAGCAGUGGGGAAUUUUGGACAAUGGGGGCAACCCUGAUCCAGCCAUGCCGCGUGUGUGAAGGAAGGCCU